rnacentral:rRNA from 1 species
AGACCCGAAACCCGGUGAUCUAGCCAUGGGCAGGUUGAAGGUUGGGUAACACUAACUGGAGGACCGAACCGACUAAUGUUGAAAAAUUAGCGGAUGACCUGUGGCUGGGGGUGAAAGGCCAAUCAAACCGGGAGAUAGCUGGUUCUCCCCGAAAGCUAUUUAGGUAGCGCCUCGUGAAUUCAUCUCCGGGGGUAGAGCACUGUUUCGGCUAGGGGGCCAUCCCGGCUUACCAACCCGAUGCAAACUGCGAAUACCGGAGAAUGUUAUCACGGGAGACACACGGCGGGUGCUAACGUCCGUCGUGAAGAGGGAAACAACCCAGACCGCCAGCUAAGGUCCCAAAGUCAUGGUUAAGUGGGAAACGAUGUGGGAAGGCCCAGACAGCCAGGAUGUUGGCUUAGAAGCAGCCAUCAUUUAAAGAAAGCGUAAUAGCUCACUGGUCGAGUCGGCCUGCGCGGAAGAUGUAACGGGGCUAAACCAUGCACCGAAGCUGCGGCAGCGAACGUAUCACCCAAGACAACUUUACGGAGUUGACGAUUGACGGAGCGAAGCGACGUCAAAGCGUUCAUUAAAGUCGAGUUGGCUUAGGGAUACGUUCGUUGGGUAGGGGAGCGUUCUGUAAGCCUGUGAAGGUGUGUCGUGAGGCAUGCUGGAGGUAUCAGAAGUGCGAAUGCUGACAUAAGUAACGAUAAAGCGGGUGAAAAGCCCGCUCGCCGGAAGACCAAGGGUUCCUGUCCAACGUUAAUCGGGGCAGGGUGAGUCGACCCCUAAGGCGAGGCCGAAAGGCGUAGUCGAUGGGAAACGGGUUAAUAUUCCCGUACUUGGUGUUACUGCGAAGGGGGGACGGA